CUAUAUAAUAGUUUUGUUUGUGGAAACACCACGUAAAUUUAUAUUACUGCACUAAUAAAUUUACGUGGUGUUUCCACAAACAAAACUAUUAUAUGUUU